GUAGGUGUAGUAUAAUUGGUAAUGCGCCCGUGUACAGAUUGGAAAUUGUGGGUUUAAGUCCCGUCGACUACA
rfam:Aedes aegypti strain Liverpool supercont1.229 genomic scaffold, whole genome shotgun sequence.